rnacentral:lncRNA from 1 species
GAAAGCGUAGCCAUUCUUGAUAUGUUUGUUUCUUGUCUAGCAAGGCAUUUACUUCCGAAAUGGGUAAGUGUGAGAAUAUGCCUUUAGAUGGUAAAUUGGCCACGACUUUCCACAAAGUAUCAUCAAUAUGAAUGUCUACUCCCUUUACUCUAGAAAAAAUAUCUCCAUUCUGUGUCCAAAGAUUGUGAUAGAAUACCUUUAC